UACGUAGGGGGCAAGCGUUGUCCGGAAUCAUUGGGCGUAAAGAGCGUGUAGGCGGCUCGGUAAGUCCGCUGUGAAAGUCCAGGGCUCAACCCUGGAAUGCCGGUGGAAACUGUCGAGCUCGAGUCCGGAAGAGGCGAGUGGAAUUCCUGGUGUAGCGGUGAAAUGCGCAGAUAUCAGGAGGAACACCAAUGGCGAAGGCAGCUCGCUGGGACGGUAACUGACGCUGGAGACGCGAAAGCGUGGGGAGCAAACAGGG
rnacentral:rRNA from 1 species